CUAUCGUUCUAUGUUUUCAGGAUAUAAUCAGUAAAAAAUAUCAUUAGUAUUCAUUCGCGUUAACUUUGCGUAAGGAAGUAGUUCGUACCAAAACAAAGUUUUCGACGCUAUAUUUGUAUGUGAAAGCUGAUCUCAUCAUUUUCUAAAAGUAGGUACAGAAAACUUACCAAUAUUAUUUGAACUUAAUGUAAUCUGUUUUGGAAUUCUUAUUUGGAUUUCAUGAUGUGUAACAGUGUUGAUAAUUCAGGUGUCUUGAUAUAUUUUUUGUUGUUGUUUGAGUUGUUUCCCUUGUUUUCCCGCAAUAUCACUAGUUUUGUCUAUGUUUAAGCGGCUUUGUUUGUAAAAAGUUCAAAGUGUUCUUAAUUUAUUGGAAAUAUGGAUUAUUGAUAGUUGAAGUUACAGCAGAGAGAGAGAGAGAGAGUUUGACAGUAUGCGUGUUUGAAGAAGAUAAUGCUUUUAUUGGUACAUUCAAUUCCACAAACUGAGUGUUGAUUUCCUCGAUUUCAUUGACUCGAUGAUUCAUUCUCUGAUUUAUGAUUGUUGAUUGAAUGUUCUAAUGAUCAAUCAACUUAUUGAUUUACUGAUUGAUUGGACAUGUCAUGGAGCUUAAUAUAGAUGGAGAAGUAACUUACACGUCAUACAGUUAAAUUCAGUAUUAUUGGGGUUGUUCUAGUGCAAGUUAUCAUGUGUUUCGGGAUUUUCCAAGAUUUGAUGCAUCCUGGGUAAUAGCCAAAAUACCGCCAUUUUCAAUUCCAAGAGGAACA